rnacentral:rRNA from 1 species
GACGAACGCUGGCGGCGUGCCUAAUACAUGCAAGUAGAACGCUGAAGGGGGAGCUUGCUCUUCUGGAUGAGUCGCGCACGGGUGAGUAACGCGUGGAUAACCUGGCUGGUAGGGGGGGAUAACUGUUGGAAACGAUAGAUAAUACCGCAUACCAGUAGAUGUUGCAUGAGAAUUACUUAAAAGGAGCAAUUGCAUCAAUACCAGAUGGACCUUCGUUGUAAUAGGGUGAUUGUUGGGUAACGGCCCACCCAGGCGACGAUUCAUAGCCGACGUGAGAGGGGGGUCCGCCACCCCGAGACUGGGGCACCGCCCCGACCUCCUCGGGGGGCAGCCGUAGGGGAUCUUCGGCCAUUGACGGAAGUCUGACCGCGCAACUCCGCGUUGGUGAAGAAGGGUCUCGGGUCGUUAAGCUCCGUUGUGUGGGAAGAACGAGUGUUAGAGUGGAAAGUUCACACUGUGACGUUAUCUUACCAGAAAGGGACGGCUAACUACGUG